CAAAUACUCCCUCCGUUCGGAAUUACUUGUCUCGGAAAUGGAUGUAUCUAGAUGUAUUUUAGUUCUAGAUACAUCCAUUUCCGAGACAAGUAAUUCGGAACGGAGGAAGUAGAUG
rnacentral:pre_miRNA from 1 species